GGUUUUAUAGUCAAUUAUGAUUUUAGAUUGCAAAUCUAAGGGUAAAAGUAUUUUUUAAAGCCU
rnacentral:tRNA from 1 species